rnacentral:rRNA from 1 species
AACGAACGCUGGCGGCAGGCCUAACACAUGCAAGUCGAACGCUCGUAGCAAUACGAGAGUGGCAGACGGGUGAGUAACACGUGGGAACCUUCCCUAUGGUUCGGAAUAGCUCAGGGAAACUUGGGGUAAUACCGGAUAAGCCCUUCGGGGGAAAGAUUUAUCGCCAUUGGAUGGGCCCGCGUCGGAUUAGCUAGUUGGUGGGGUAACGGCCUACCAAGGCGACGAUCCGUAGCUGGUCUGAGAGGAUGAUCAGCCACACUGGAACUGAGACACGGUCCAGACUCCUACGGGAGGCAGCAGGUGGGGAAUUUUGGACAAUGGGGGCAACCCUGAUCCAGCCAUUCCGCGUGAGUGAAGAAGGCC